CUAACAACUAAAAGUAUCCCCUAUUACGCAAUGAUAAUUAUUAAAUUCGAUUUGUGAUUUAACCUGAAAAGCACACAGUUCGAUAUAAUAUCCCACGCGGUUUCCCAGCUACUAAUUUAACACGCCGCCUGCUUCUCGGAGGACGUUCGUACAGAAACUUGACGCCCGCGGUGUUAUUGUUAGGAAACGGAUUCGUGUACCAACUUUUAUUUUACUUUCUUUCUUUCUCUCUUUCCUCUCUUUUUCAUCAUUUUUUUCAUUAUUCUUUUUCGCUCCGCAGCCCAUAAAUUUCACCGGAGUUUCGUCCAGGAUUAAGAUAUCAGCUUAUUGUAACAAUCCUCUGCACUGGGUUUCCUAUUAUUAUUUUACUUCUUUCUUUUUCAAUGCCCGCAAGAAAGCCAAGGCAUUGUACGCGGCUAUACGUGUACUGCAGUUCAAGUAUCAGAAGCUGGUCUACCUGUACCGUUCAUUGGACUUCGGAGGGGCGUAGCAGGGAGGGGGUUUUACUUUUUUUCCUUCUCUCCCCUGGAUGGAAAUGCGGUGGUAAAAAGAAGAGGGAGCAAAAAGUGAAAUGAAGUUCAAUCCUCGGGCCGGAACAGUCGUUUGCAACAUUUUCUUUCCUCCGUUCGAAACCAAGACACACCCUCGGGGGGCUAAUAGUUUCGAGUUUGAAAAACAAAGAAACUCGCGGAGUGACUGUGAUGGAUGGAACUGCCAAUGCAAAAAGGUUGGAUCGACGGAAACGGAGCCGGACCGAGUUUUGCAUCUGUGCCUGGUCCCCACCCCUCGCCCCCACCCCCAUUCUCCACCCCACGAAGUAUUUAUCUCCGUCAGCUAUUAAGUGAUCCGGGUGCUCUGACUCAAAGCCAACGAAGGAGGCUGCACGCUUUGAGGGAAAUGGAGCUUCAAGAGCUUGCAGAGUAGAGCCGAGAGAGCUUGCGACCUCAAGCCUCGCCCUCUGACUCGCCGAUGUGCAACCUCGUCGCGAACAAAGGCCAACCAGGGCGUAACACCAGGUAGCUUAGCCUCUGGUGCUUACCGCACAGCAUCCCCUUGUUAUUAGGAGGGUGAUGAAUUAUCAAUCAAAUGAUCGAGUAGCCGUAGAACUCUAAUGUCGGCCAUCGGGGUUCGCGGAUUCGGAAGAUGGAUAUAUUUGAAAAUAUCUGGAGGGUCGAUCCGUCGAAACUAUGUAGGUAUCCCUGAAUACCCAGCGUCGAUCGUCGAGACAUCAAAGCGUACACUCGGUCCCAAUGGUUCCCCUUUAUAUCCCGGCGAGCCCGUAUAUCCCGGACAUGUAUACAUAUAUGUAUGUAUGUAUGUAUCUAUGUAUCUAUGUAUGUAUGUAUGUAUGGAUUAUGUACAUGGGAAUAUGUAUACGUGCGUAUACGUGCAGGGGGAGAAGUAAGUGAGGAAAUGAGGGGUCCGAGGGGAGGAGGGCAGGGAAUAUCUCGCUAGCCUCGAGCAGUUGGCCGUCCUUCCAUUAUAUUGCUUCGGACUCCCGAACGGCGAAUACGUAAAUUUAAGGGAACCGCACGUGAGCAAGAUCUAAAAGGGUCCGGCGCCGUUGAUCCCUGACGUUUUAAAGGACCAAACUGAAAUAAGACUGGUUCGCCGAGGGAGGAAAGAACCGCGUUAAAGAGCAGUUCGCAACGGCCGAGGGGAGAGAUAAGCUCUUCCGCCAAUCCAGCAACCUUUUCUCUUUAUUUGGCUUUUUUAUGAGGUGGCGCUGACACGAUAAAUACUUAAUGCCACGGUGUCGUUGGUAGGUAGGUAGGUAGGUGGGUAGGUACCUUUAUGUGUAUGUUAACUUGCCACCGCGCCGAGCAGCUCGCUCUAGAUCCGAGUGAAACGCGCCAGCACUAACGACACUAACUCUAUCGCUUUCCAUCGAUUAGAGCUGAGUACCCUCAACAAGAAAGUUGGCAGCAACACUCUAGCAACUGCGCUAUACCAACGUAUAUAAUACAUAAUGUGCAUGCCUGUAUAUUUAGUGCAAAGUUGUUCUUCUCACUGCCGCAGCUGUAUUAGAUUACAAAACACACGAAACCCUGUUUCGGCUGAACGAAACCAUCACCAUUAACAAAAGAAAAAUAACUCGUUCGUACGUAUGUGCUAAAUGUAUAUAUAUAGCUGGGUUGAAUCUCGGGGAAACCCUUUGGGCCGAAGACCUUCGUUUCUCUACGAGGCCGAGAGACGAAAGACGAUCCCAUAUUCGGAGUUUAAUUACGGAAAGAACCACAGUUGGCAAAUCGCUUCCUAUUCCGGUGAAAAAUUAAUUAACCAACAAGAUACACCGUCACGCGUGACCACCGUUGGGCACAUACCCUGUAGGCUGACCUUCGUGUUCUUCGGGUGCUUUGCCUCGCCUCGCACGCAGACACGUUCCGAUCCGGUUGGAUGGUCUGGAUGUUGUACGAACUACGAUUACGCGCCCUGAAUUUUACAUGACUAAGGAUACGUUGCUUGAACUGUAAAUUCUAUGUAAGAAACUCCGUGCGAAAACGAACUAGCUCGGACAAGAUUU